rnacentral:rRNA from 1 species
GUAGGUGGCAAGCGUUAUCCGGAAUUAUUGGGCGUAAAGCGCGCGUAGGCGGUUUUUAAGUCUGAUGUGAAAGCCCACGGCUCAACCGUGGAGGGUCAUUGGAAACUGGAAAACUUGAGUGCAGAAGAGGAAAGUGGAAUUCCAUGUGUAGCGGUGAAAUGCGCAGAGAUAUGGAGGAACACCAGUGGCGAAGGCGACUUUCUGGUCUGUAACUGACGCUGAUGUGCGAAAGCGUGGGGGGAUCAAACAGGAUUAGAUACCCUGGUAGUCCACGCCGUAAACGAUGAGUGCUAAGUGUUAGGGGGUUUCCGCCCCUUAGUGCUGCAGCUAACGCAUUAAGCACUCCGCCCUGGGAGUACGACCGCAAGGUUG